rnacentral:miRNA from 1 species
CCCAAAGUCAUAGUGCUGUUU